rnacentral:rRNA from 1 species
GAUGAACGCUGGCGGCGUGCCUAAUACAUGCAAGUCGAGCGAACAGAUGAGGAGCUUGCUCCUCUGACGUUAGCGGCGGACGGGGGAGUAACACGUGGAUAACCUACCUAUAAGACUGGGAUAACUUGGGGAAACCGGAGCUAAUACCGGAAAUAAAUUAACCGCGCGUGGUUAAAUAGUGAAAGAGGUUUUUUCUGUCAUUUAUAGGUGUAUCCGCGCCGCAUUAGCUAGUUGGUAAGGUAACGGCUUACCAAGGCAACGAUGCGUAGCCGACCUGAGAGGGUGAUCGGCCACACUGGAACUGAGACACGGUCCAGACUCCUACGGGAGGCAGCAGUAGGGAAUCUUCCGCAAUGGGCGAAAGCUUGACGGAGCAACGCCGCGUGAGUGAUGAAGGUCUUCGGAUCGUAAAACUCUGUUAUUAGGGAAGAACAAAUGUGUAAGUAACUAUGCACGUCUUGACGGUACCUAAUCAGAAAGCCACGGCUAACUACGUG